UACAGAGGUGGCGAGCGUUGUUCGGAUUUAUUGGGCGUAAAGGGUCCGUAGGCGGUCCGGAAAGUUGGAUGUGAAAUCCCACAGCUCAACUGUGGAACUGCAUUCAAAACUACCCGGACUAGAGUGUGAGAGGGGUAAAGGGAAUUCCCGGUGUAAGGGUGAAAUCUGCAGAGAUCGGGAGGAACGACCAGUCGCGAAGGCGCUUUACUGGCUCACUACUGACGCUCAGGGACGAAAGCUAGGGGAGCAAACGGGGAUUAGAAACCCC
rnacentral:rRNA from 1 species